CAGACUGACAUCAAUUGAUAAUUACUACACCAAACAAAGAUAAAAGCUGUGGAUGUCCGUUCUGAUCCUGAGAUCAAUCAUGAGUCAAAUACUAUUCAUUUUAAUUGCCUCUUUGCCAUAUGUUCUUGGCAUCUCUCUGACCUCGUCUCCUGCACAGAUUAAAGCUCCUGGUGAAUCAGUGAGGUUGUCCUGUCAGAUCUCUGGAUAUUCACUCAGUGAUUAUGGCACAGUAUGGAUCAGACAGAAUUCUGGAAAAGGCAUGCAGUGGAUCGGGAUCAUAUGGGGUGGUGGAUCAAUAGACCUUGGAAAUUCCUUCAAGAGUCGCUUCACUAUAUCCAGAGACACAAACCGUAAUGAGCUUUUCUUAGACAUCAGCAGUCUGCAGACUGAGGACACAGCUGUGUAUUUCUGUGCAAAGGGUUACACACCCUGGCUCAUCUCAGUGUGA